GUGCAGCAGUCGCGAAAACUCCGCAAUGCGCGAAAGCGUGACGGGGUCACCCCGAGUGCCGUCCGCUGAGGAUGGCUUUUGCCUGGUCUAACCAGCCGGGUGAAUAAGGGGAGGGCAAGUCUGGUGUCAGCCGCCGCGGUAAUACCAGCUCCCCGAGUGGUUGGGACGAUUAUUGGGUCUGAAGCGUCCGUAGCCGGCCGGAAAAGUUCCCCGUUAAAUCUGGCGAUCCAAUCGUUGGGCUGCGGGGAAUACUCUUCGGCUUGGGGGCGAGGGAGGUCGGCGGUAGUCCCGGGGUAGGGGCGAAAUCCUAUAAUCCCGGGAGGACCACCAGUGGCGAAGGCGUCUUCCCAAAACGCGUCCGACGGUGAGGAACGAAAGCUGGGGGAGCAAAUCGGAUUAGAUACCCGUGUAGUCC
rnacentral:rRNA from 1 species